AUACGUAGGAUGCGAGCGUUAUCCGGAUUUAUUGGGUUUAAAGGGAGCGCAGACGGGUCGUUAAGUCAGCUGUGAAAGUUUGGGGCUCAACCUUAAAAUUGCAGUUGAUACUGGCGUCCUUGAGUGCGGUUGAGGUGUGCGGAAUUCGUGGUGUAGCGGUGAAAUGCUUAGAUAUCACGAAGAACUCCGAUUGCGAAGGCAGCACACUAAUCCGUAACUGACGUUCAUGCUCGAAAGUGUGGGUAUCAAACAGGAUUAGAUACCCUGGUAGUCCACACGGUAAACGAUGGAUACUCGCUGUUGGCGAUAUACUGUCAGCGGCUUAGCGAAAGCGUUAAGUAUCCCACCUGGGGAGUACGCCGGCAACGGUGAAACUCAAAGGAAUUGACGGGGGCCCGCACAAGCGGAGGAACAUGUGGUUUAAUUCGAUGAUACACGAGGAACCUUACCCGGGCUUAAAUUGCAAAGGAAUAAUCUGGAAACAGAUUAGUCUUCGGACCUUUGUGAAGGUGCUGCAUGGUUGUCGUCAGCUCGUGCCGUGAGGUGUCGGCUUAAGUGCCAUAACGAGCGCAACCCUCGCCGCCAGUUACUAGCAGGUAAUGCUGAGGACUCUGGCGGGACUGCCAUCGUAAGAUGUGAGGAAGGUGGGGAUGACGUCAAAUCAGCACGGCCCUUACGUCCGGGGCUACACACGUGUUACAAUGGGCGGUACAGAAGGCAGCUACCUGGCGACAGGAUGCCAAUCCCUAAAGCCGCUCUCAGUUCGGACUGGAGUCUGCAACCCGACUCCACGAAGCUGGAUUCGCUAGUAAUCGCGCAUCAGCCACGGCGCGGUGAAUACGUUCCCGGGCCUUGUACACACCGCCCGUCAAGCCAUGAAAGCCGGGGGUACCUGAAGUGCGUAACCGCAAGGAGCGCCCUAGGGUAAAACCGGUAAUUGGGGCU
rnacentral:rRNA from 1 species